rnacentral:rRNA from 1 species
AGAGUUUGAUCUUGGCUCAGGACGAACGCUGGCGGCGUGCCUAAUACAUGCAAGUAGAACGCUGAAGACUGGUGCUUGCACUAGUCAGAUGAGUUGCGAACGGGUGAGUAACGCGUAGGUAACCUACCUCAUAGCGGGGGAUAACUAUUGGAAACGAUAGCUAAUACCGCAUGACAAUUAAGUACUCAUGUACUAAAUUUAAAAGGAGCAAUUGCUUCACUAUGAGAUGGACCUGCGUUGUAUUAGCUAGUUGGUGAGGUAACGGCUCACCAAGGCCACGAUACAUAGCCGACCUGAGAGGGUGAUCGGCCACACUGGGACUGAGACACGGCCCAGACUCCUACGGGAGACAGCAGUAGGGAAUCUUCGGCAAUGGGGGCAACCCUGACCGAGCAACGCCGCGUGAGUGAAGAAGGUUUUCGGAUCGUAAAGCUCUGUUGUUAGAGAAGAACGGUAAUGGGAGUGGAAAAUCCAUUACGUGACGGUAACUAACCAGAAAGGGACGGCUAACUACGUGCCAGCAGCCGCGGUAAUACGUAGGUCUCGAGCGUUGUCCGGAUUUAUUGGGCGUAAAGCGAGCGCAGGCGGUUAUUUAAGUCUGAAUUUAAAGGCCGUGGCUCAACCAUGGUUCGCUUUGGAAACUGGAUAACUUGAGUGCAGAAGGGGAGAGUGGAAUUCCAUGUGUAGCGGUGAAAUGCGUAGAUAUAUGGAGGAACACCGGUGGCGAAAGCGGCUCUCUGGUCUGUAACUGACGCUGAGGCUCGAAAGCGUGGGGAGCAAACAGGAUUAGAUACCCUGGUAGUCCACGCCGUAAACGAUGAGUGCUUGGUGUUAGGCCCUUUCCGGGGCUUAGUGCCGCAGCU